GUGUUCGACCGCUGCGGAAAAUCAGUUUCCUUUCAGUGCUUGAUCUUGCAAUUUCGCGGCUUAAGUAGUGAUUUCAGGUGCAUUGUGUGUGUGGUGUGUCCAAGAUAAUUGACUUUGUAAAUUCUUAGUUGUCUGGUAAAUGAUGUAGUUUCUUGGAAACAUAAUGUGCCGUCUGUGUAAGCUUAUAUUCACGUGUCAAGAAUUGUAGGUUAUAUGCUUGUGCUUCGAACUUGUUUCUCGAAUUUAAUAAGUACGAAUCCCUUUGAAAUAAAGGUUGAUAAAAAAAAUACACUGGGAUCGCGGCGCCACUCGGAGCCAAUUAGACAGGACAAUUAAAGUAUUGUGCCGUUAAACAGCGUUCCUGACUACGGGAGAGAAUGGCCUAAUCCUGAAUUCCAAAUGCUUCAAGGCAUCAGCAGGAUGUUGCGGGAUGCUGUAUCGAGCAGGAGAGUUAAUUCUACUGGGAUGUGACGGAAAUUUCUUGAACGUAGUAUUACAGAUUAAUUCUCGCAGAUAAUCUUUUCUGUGCCCGCUUAAACUUUCCGACGCUUACUCAACCUACAACCAAUGUCGCUAACGUCGCAAAGUACAUUGUGAGAUAUUUCCCGGACGCACGGGAUGUUGACACUUGGCCUAUACGUCUUUUGUAAAGCUUUUAAGUAUUAUUUUUAUCUAUUAUACAAAUAUUUUGUAAGAUCGUUCAAAAUCGACGAGCGACACUUACAUAAUCAGAUCAGCUAAAAGAUAAAGCCUCAUGUGUUAAUGGAAUGCAACAUUAAAUGUAAGUCAACAGUAAUUACAAUAAUUUUCACAAUAAUACGGAGAACAUUCUAAGAACAAGAAGUAUCACGGAAAUGGCGCUGGCGAAAUACUAAGUCCAAUAUACAAAAAAGACUAUGGGAAUAAGAACGAGGUAGUCAGUUACAGAUGAAAAUACAUGUAUGUGAAAAUAUAUAUAUAUAUAUUAUCAGUCGAUUUUAUAAAAUUGUAAAAGUCAAUACGCACAAUAUGUUGUACAAACGAAAUUCCGCUAUUUCUGAAUAAAA